rnacentral:rRNA from 1 species
GAUGAACGCUGGCGGCGUGCCUAAUACAUGCAAGUCGAGCGAACGGACGAGAAGCUUGCUUCUCUGAUGUUAGCGGCGGACGGGUGAGUAACACGUGGAUAACCUACCUAUAAGACUGGGAUAACUUCGGGAAACCGGAGCUAAUACCGGAUAAUAUUUUGAACCGCAUGGUUCAAAAGUGAAAUACGUUCUUUCUGUCUCUUAUAGAUUGAUCCGCGCUGCAUUAGCUAGUUGGUAAGGUAACGGCUUACCAAGGCAACGAUGCAUAUCCGACCUGAGAGGGUGAUAGGCCACACUGGAACUGAGACACGGUCCAGACUACUACGGGAGGCAGCAGUAGGGAAUAUGCCGCAAUGGGCGAAAGCAUGACGGAGCAACGCCGCGUGAGUGAUGAAGGUCUGCGGAUCGUAAAACUCUGUUAUUAGGGAAGAACAUAUGUGUAAGUAACUGUGCACAUCUUGACGGUACCUAAUCAGAAAGCCACGGCUAACUACGUG